AGUUAAAAUUGUAUGUGUGCAGGUGUAAAAAGUUAAGCUUAAGCUUAUAGGUUUAAACCUUCCUGGUGCAGUUGUGAAAAUAAGACAGAGUGAAGUAGCACCUUGACAGUAGGGACUCCAUUUUGGAGCACUUGAGACUGCAUUCUGGGAAAGCAACCCCCCCCCCCCCCACCGUGAGACUCUGGUCUGAAACUAUGAUCUCAAAUAGUCGGACAAUAGCAGUGCACUACAUCACCCUUGGCAACACACAAAAACCCUCUAGCAUGAUUGCUCAAGCUUAAAAAUAAAAAGGUUACACCUGGGUUACCUGAGCUAAUAAUGAAAAUGUGAUUUGUCUAUGUCUUAAGAUCAUAAUUGCUGAUUGUAAGAUAUUAGCAACCGCUUAGCAACUGUGUGUUCUCUCCCCCCUCCCAAUUUUGUGGUUUUUGCCUUUAUAAACCCUAACCUUUGGUUAUACGGGGCUGCUCUGCUUUUGUAUGAUCAGGCAGCCCCAGCAUGCUGGAUAAUCAAUAAAGCUUCCCCGUGCUGUUUGCAUAAGAGACGUGUCUCUUGAUGACGUUUUUUUCGGGCGGUGGACUCUAACAUUUGGAGGCCCCAGCGAGAUCGCGGCUGCCCGUGGACGCCUCCAGCGGACGUCUCUUGGGACUAAAAGCUGUUGAACUCCAAAUGGUCAUCAGGCAAGACUUCCAGCCCAUUCCACUGGACGACUUGAGCAGCCCUCUGGACCGAGCAACACAGUCUUUCCAAGGCCACUGUUGCACACCAUAAGACAGGUAGCAAGAGGAAAUACCCAAAUCCCCUUCAACGCCCACAUGCCAGCUUCGAAGAAGUUACAGAAAAUGGAACUCCAUCCAUAAUCCCAAAGAAGAAUUUGGGGUAUUACCUCUUGAGGGAAAAAUAUUAGGCAGAAAGUCAGUUAUGAGCUUAUGUGUGUGUGACAUAAAGGCCUAAUGUGUCCAGCAUAUGCAUCUGCAUCUCAGUCAUCCUGACAAUGUUUCACGGGCAGCCUGGCCUUUGCAUCCUGCCCUGCCCCCUUCUACCUGAUAACCUGCCAGGUGGAGAUCCCCACCCCUUCUGCCUGACAAAUCUUCCACAAUCUCCCAGAUGCGGCCCAGUAUCUGCAUUUCAGUAUUACAGAACAGGCGGGGGUUGAAUCCCAUUUUCAUGGUUGGGGGGUGGUUAUGCGUGGCCCUAAAGGAAAAAUGUUGUUUUUAUGCUGACUGAACCGGGGUGAUUAGAAACUCCAUGGCCAAACUCAAAAAAAAAAAAAAUGACUGGAACAAUGGCAACGGGAGAGGGAAACUUAACAGGGAUGGUUUGAGUCAUGGUUUGGCUGGUCCCCAUGGCUUACUACCCUACUGUCAGCCCUAGCAGGACCCUUAAUUAUUCUACUCCUAAUUGUAACCGUAGGACCUUGUGUGUUAAAUAGACUCAUCACCUUCAUACGGAAACAAGUUAAAAAUGUUAAACUCAUGGUCAUAAGACAACAAUAUGUCACAUUAAAAGAGACAAAAACGAAUAAUCUCUAAGAUUAGAGAUCCUCACAACAAGGAGUGGGGAAUGAAGAGUUAAAAUUGUAUGUGUGCAGGUGUAAAAAGUUAAGCUUAAGCUUACAGGUUUAAACCUUCCUGGUGCAGCUGUGAAGAUAAGACAGAGUGAAGUAGCACCUUGACAGUAGGGACUCCAUUUUGGAGCACUUGAGACUGCAUUCUGGGAAAGCAACCCCCCCCCCCCACCGUGAGACUCUGGUCUGAAACUAUGAUCUCAAAUAGUCGGACAAUAGCAGUGCACUACACCACCCUUGGCAACACACAAAAACCCCCUAGCAUGAUUGCUCAAGCUUAAAAAUAAAAAGGUUACACCUGGGUUACCUGAGCUAAUAAUGAAAAUGUGAUUUGUCUAUGUCUUAAGAUCAUAAUUGCUGAUUGUAAGAUAUUAGCAACCACUUAACAACCGUGUGUUCUCUCCCCCCUCCCAAUUUUGUGGUUUUUGCCUUUAUAAACCCUAACCUUUGGUUAUACGGGGCUGCUCUGCUUUUGUAUGAUCAGGCAGCCCCAGCAUGCUGGAUAAUCAAUAAAGCUUCCCCGUGCUGUCUGCAUAA